GGGAGUUGUAGGCCGGCGGUGUAAGGCCGUGAGCGCCCCGGCACCCCGAGUCUCUCACUGAGCACCGGAGCAGAAACAACAACCCUUUUAUUGCAAGGAAACUUACAAUGCGGCUGACGUACCCCGAGCCUGCAGAGCCCACGCCAAGUGCUCCAAAUAGCAUGAGUUACACCAUAACCCCCAACUUGCAACUUGCUCUUCAUCGAGGAGAAAUCAGAGAACGCAGGUGCUAGAAGAGCAGUUUUAUUCCCUCUUUUUUUUCCCCUUGGUGAGUGGAAACACCUGCCUUGCCCUCAGCCAGGGGCCCUGUGUCCCUGCACACUUGGUGCACCCACAGCGUUCAGGUAGCAACCAUGGGAAGACAGAUAACUUAUAAUCAAGUGAAACUGUAGAUCAGAGUGCUGAGGGGACUAGGAACUAAUCUGGUAUUUUUUUAAUUGACUAGAUUUCAGCUGGAGUGGUCCCUUGGCAUUUUAAACCUCCACACUUAAUUAUCUUGCUGCCAAUCAUUUCAGCUGAAACACCAAAGUUCCUUUUAUACUGCUGUUCCCAGAAGGGUUUUCCCAUCCCUGCACCUUGGUGUGUGACAGAUCCCAACUUUGAACUGGGGAACCCCAAAAAGGUGCUGCAGUGUGCUUGGAGGAGAUGGUGGUACAUCUGGAUGUUGCAUGGGCACAGCCCCCUGGGGCACAUCUGUCCCUCUGAGGGGCAUACCACUGUGGACAGAAUCCUAGGAGACAGCUUCUAGGGUAAGGACACAGUGAUGUUUUCAUCUUCUUCCUCGUUUUGAGCCUUAAGACUCAGGAUGGGUGUCAGUAACUACCUCAGCCAGUCCAAGGGCCACCCAGCCAGCACUAGGGGAAGCCUGUUAGUCCUGCCAGCCUCUUCUCAAGGGUGCUCAGCACACCUGCAGCCCACAAUGUGGAGAACUCCCGAUUUGCAGCUGGUAUCUACAAGGCAUGCACUAAUUUAAGCAACAACAUGCAAAUGAAGAACAAUACAGUGAGUAAUUUGGAGCUCUUAAAUGAAUUAGCUACAGUCUUGCCCAGGGAGUCUCCAAGGAGAGAAGAGAAAGCAGGAAGACAGAUAGCUCUGGUGGGCCUGGAGCCACAGGUCACAGGUGUGGGGGGCUCAGAAGGUGACUGGUGCCUGUCUGCUCCUGUCCUGCAGAAGAAGGGAGGGCAUCAGGCCUAGGCUACAGGCACCAGAGGAAGAUGGAUGUAGCUCCAGCUGACUGAACAUGGUCAUGAGGUGCUGCUGAAGACACCUGUCCCAUAGGCCAAGCUGUGAGCUCCCCUGUGGUGGGAUUAGAGCAGCAGCACCUCAGCAUGGUCCUGGGGCUCAAGGGUCCAAGUGAGAGCCUUGGGUGGGAAAGCAUGAAGGGGACAAUACUCCUGACAAGGCAGGACCAAUAUCAGUACAAGAGCACCUCCUCCAUCUCCAGGCUUUUAAAAGGAUCUUGAAAAAAACCAAAAAGACAGCACAUAAGAAAGCCACAAAACUGGAUUUGCAGCCUCCAGGAAGAAGCCUGCAGUAAGAGGCUGAACAAGCACAAUCCCUUUAGCUUAUUAGAGAACUGAGAAGCGUUGCAAUUCCAGCAUGUAAGCUGCCACAAGAGGAAAUUACAAAGGGUUGAAGGCUUUUUAAUAUGGAAGAGGAAAGGAGUUCCUUGUAGUGCAAGCAGUGGGACCUGUAUCCACUACCCUCAGCUCCAUUCUUUUCAGCACACUUUGGCUAAACAGCAUCUUCUGGA